GGUUUUUAAAUAUAGCAGGGGACGAUUACCCAGGCAGGGUCCACCCAGGCCUAAGGGAGGAGUUGAGGGGGAUGGAGGUUGGCCGGGGAGGGAAAAUAAAACUCCCUUUUUCCCCUCUUUUUUCCUUCUGUUCUUGGUGCAGGACUCAGUCUGUCAUUUUCUCGACCCAGAUCAAACAACGGCUUGCGAGAGACGCUUGGGUGAGCGCUGGAAACUGAGCCUUGGAGAGGCUAAAGAACCAUCCCAAGGCCACAAGCAGCAGAACCAAGGAUUGGAAGAAGGUGGAACCAACUGGAAUUUCUCUGAUAAUCACAACCGUAUGUGCAACUUCCAGGAUCCCUGAGGGACUGUUCUGGAACAAGGAUUGGUGCGAAGAGACAGAGGGAGAGAGAUAGUGAGAGCAGGAACACAAGCAGGGGGAGUGGGAGAAGGAGAAGCAAGCUUCCGGCGGAGCAGGGAGCCCGAUGCGGGGCUCGAUCCCAGGACCCCGGGAUCAUGACCUGAGCUGAAGGCGGACGCUUAACGACUGAGCCACCCAGGCCCCCUAAAAUUCACCUGUUUUAAGUGUACAGGUUGAUGGGUUUUGACUGCAGCACAAUCAAGAUACAGAACAUGUACGUCUCCCCUCAAAGGUUCCUAGCCCCUUGGCAGUUAUCCCUCCUCCCCUCAAGCAACCAUUGAUCUGCUUUCUGUCACUAUAGAUUAGUUUUGCUUUUUCUAGAAUUUUCUUCUUUGUGUCUAUUUAUAGCUCUUGCUCUUUCUUCAAGGACCAUUACCCAUUCACUAAAACAACAACAGUGACAGUACACACAGAAUUGGUCUUGUCCUUUUUCUAGAACUACCCAAAACUGACAGGCGCUUCAUCUUCUUCUCACCUGUAGCAGGGUGUGGCCAGGCAGGAAGGUGGGAGGGGAGGGGAGCAGCUCAGCACAUUCAACCACUGCUAGAGGCAGAGUGACUGGCGAGGGUUAUCUGACUUCUGGGCAGGCUGUAAGAACCAGACCCAGUUCUGCGUUCUGAGCCUCUGUGUCCUCACCAGUAGCAUGGAAGAAAAAAUAGUAACAACAGUAACAUCCACUCGUGGGGUUGGUGUGAGGGUUCCCUGAGAUUACAGUUUCUGAUACAGAGUACUUCUCAAAUGUAUGUUAAUUCACUCUUUCUCCCCCUUACCCUGCUUGCCUCCCACUGGAAGCUCUGCAACCAACUCUCUCCUCUGAACACUGGACAGAGUCCCACUUUUUUCCCUUCUCUCCUACAUGCAUACAGGGUUUAAAACAACAACAAUAACAACAGUAAUUCUGAUGACAGUGUGCCUUCAGUUUCUGCCACUGUUUUUUCCCUAAUUUCUGGUUGUGGUCGGACUCAAGGAGAUCACAGGAGAGCCAGCAAGCAGGCUAUUUGUUGUCAGCAGCAGGAACAAGACCCGCAGACUUCAUUUUCAAGUUAGGAGGACACUGAGGCCAGAGAAGUGGGGGGAUUCAACCCAAUCACAGAGCUCACGCAGCAAAGACUGGUUGGAGUCUGUUACGGGCUGCACUGGGACCCCCUACCCCCAAACGCGUAGGUUGAAAUGGUAACCUCCUGUACUUCAGAAUGUGAGGGCCAAGAGAUAAUUGAGUUAGAUGAGGUCAUUAGGGUGGGCCCUAAUCAAAUGACUGGUGUUCUUAUAAGAAAAGGACGAGGACACAGGUAGGCAGCGGGAAAACAUGUGAAGACACACCAAGGAGGCAGCCAUCCGCAGGCCGAGGAGAGAGGCUUUGGAAGAAAUCAAACCUUCUGACACCUUGAUCUUGGACUUCUAGCCUCCAGCCUGUGAGGAAAUAAAUUUCUGUCGCUUGAGCCACCCAGUCUGUGGUAUUUUGUUAUGGCGGCCAGAGCAGACUCAUACAGAAUCCGAGUAUUCUGGCUGAUUCUCUGAAGGUUUGCUCUCUUCCAACUUCAAGGAGUUCCUUCAGGUUAUUUGGAACCUUGAAACAACCUGGAUUUUGGAAUUUAACAAAAAGGAAGGAAACCAGGUUUUACUGGAAGCCUGCUGUCACACGGUGCUGUGCCCUUUUAUGUGUGUUACUUCGCUCUUUAGGUGUUUAUGGAACACCUUCUAUGUGCCAGGCACGAUUCUGAGUGCUGUGGACACAGCUACAGACAAUGAAAGUAAAAUCCCUGCCUUCAUAGAACCUACAUUCUAGAGGAAGAGACAGAUGAUAAACACGAAUGAACAAAAUACAUGGGGCUAUGGAGAAACAAUAAAGCAGAGGAGAAGGGUAAGGGGUUGCCAAGGGAGGGAGGGGAAAUCCUUAGGCUUUUUAAUUGAAGAGAGUUGGGGAGUUUGUCCUGGAAGCUUCAAUGACAAAGAGGCAGUUGAGUGAGCACUCAAAGGAGGAGGGGGAGGGAGCUAUGCUGAUGCUUGAGGGAAGAAGGUUCCAGAACGGCAACCUCCAAGACUCCUAAGCAGGAGUAUGCCAGAUGUGUUCAGGAAAAAUGUUAUUUAGACCUCACGUCCACAUUGGGAGGUGCAUAGCAUCCCUUCAUCUGGAGAAGAAGAAACCUCAAGUGGGAGAAGUCACUCCCAUGAGGUCACCCAGACAAGAGCAGGUAAUGCCCUUCUUUCUCCAGAGGCUGGGAGCACAAUAGGGCAGAUGGGAUGAAUAUGGAGAGCCCUCCACGUGGUUUCUUCUUUGUUAGGCCCCAUUAUUUACCAUUACGCCCCAGGGCUACACAAGUUGGUGCCUCUCCAGACGCAGGGCCUCAGGCACUUCACCAGGAGCAGCCCUGCCUGCCCCUGCGGCCUUUAGCUCUGCUUGUCACAGGCAUCGCUGUACCCAGGUGCCAGCCUUCCAGGGCCCUGGGACUAUAAAAUCUGAGAGCAGUUGAGGAGAGGCAGAAGCAGACCAUCAAGCUGAAGCUUAAAGUAAGCUCUGGAACAGCUCUGGAGGAGCGAGAGAAGUUUCAUAAGGAAUGUUUGAUAGUAGGGUAGUUUAGUAAGAUAUAAUUCUUCCCUAUGGGUUAUAGAAUUGUUUUUUUCUUUUUUUUUUUUUAAAGAUUUUAUUUAUUUAUUAUUUGAGACAGAGAGAA